rnacentral:ncRNA from 2 species
UUUUUAAAAAAUCUCCGAGCUUUGGAUUCUGUUGCCUUGGUGGUAUGAGCCAAAGCCGAAAGGGCUAAGCCGGAAACGGCUUAACCUCCCGUGCUUGGAAAGGAGAUAAAUUGAAAAAUUU